rnacentral:piRNA from 1 species
UAAAAAUAUUAGUCUGUCCUCUGUUGGCCCC